UAUGUGUUGUUUCAUAGUUUUGAUGUCUUCUCUAUUAUUCAACAAUUUAGAACAUUUACAACAACAACAAAAAUUAUUCACAUUAACAUUAUUUCCUUGCAAUAUUUAGUUUUGCUAUCAAUACUUUUGGGUUUAUGUUUCGCUUUGAAUAUAAUUAUUUUUGUUUGCAAUACUAAUAAUUGUGUUAUCUUUUGAUUUGCUUGAUAAUAAUGGCACAAAUGUAGCUCACUCACUAGAGGAUUUCACCAUCUAAAAACAUUAUUAUUCCACUCCACAGUUUCUGUAAAAAGCUGAGGGAUGGUGCUGAAGAAAUGCAACCACUCAAAUCCAAAAACCACACUAGAUUUGCAAGCUUUUAUUUUGGGUUCUGAUGGGGUACAACAGUUGUACCAAGCUCAUAAGGGAAUUAUACGUUAUAUUCUUCAAGAAUCAAUGGGUUCAUAUCAUUCAUUUAUAAGUCCAAAAAUGUAUGGUGCAACUAAGGAUGGCCCCUUUAACAGGCAGUGAACUUCAUACAGCCAUUUGAAUGUGAUUCAUUAACCUGCCACCCGAAGAAUUAUUCUGUCCACUGUUCCGAAUGUCCUGCAAAAAUCGUUUCCUUGUCCUGCAUUUGGGCUUUUUAGAUGUGGUCAACCUAAUUCCACUGGAGGAAACAUUGAUACUGCAACAUGUUAUCACCAUCUUUGCAAACUGUGUACUCUCUGAAGUAACCAGAAAUACCGGAUAUACUGUACAUGGAUGAAAGACGCAAACAAGUUCCGGCAAGCAGCUUGAUUUAAGACCGGAGCUAGAGCUGGAGCUGGGAUGGAUGCCUCCCCCUGUCAUCAAUGGAGGCCAAUGCAGCCAGUUAAUCUGGGUCCUUGGAUCAGAACAGGAAGUCUGCUUUUCCUGUAAAGGGGGGACUUUACAAAGACAGACCUUGCCACUCCACUGCUGCAGGUCGGAACAAGCAGAGAUAGACCACCUUUGAUAAAUGGCUGGCAGUGGAAAGUGAGAAAGACCUUGCUGCCUCUGCUCACUGCGUCAAGACAGAGUUCUUUUACACACUACCACAUGCAAGGAAGCACAUGGUGAUGGAUCCCAGAUGUGUGCGAGAGAAGGAGCUGGCUCCUUUUGGACUGUGGCCACAACAGUCCAGACCAGAUUGCAAUUGUAAUGUCCAGUGUUGUGUUGAUGGUUUAGACUAAUUAUAAGACUGAUUAGAGUAAACUUGGCGAUGGACUGAAAGGCCUUGUGUGCUUUGAGUCAACAAGUACCAAUGCCAAAGACUGAUAGUGGUUCAUAAACAUACAAACCCGCAAGCAUGCACGCAAAGGGAAAUGUACAUGAAUGCACACCAUCGGUGCAUAAUACAAUGCACAAUGUCUGUCAAACCAAUUUAUGCAACGUGUUAAAGAUGAUGCCAGAAAUAUGUUUUAUAGAGACUGUCAUAAUCCACUAGAUCCAGGAUAACGUUCCCCGUCCAUGCUCUGAAAAUGUUCUCUGUUUUUUCUUUCCAUUUUAUGAUUGUCAGCACAGCCCUGUAUAUUUCCAAGAGAGCCAGUAACCAACACGACAUCAUGCUUAAAUGCCUUAAUGAGCUGACAAAAUCAGAUUCAGGAGAUUUCUUGGGGAGAUUUUCCUUGACUGAUCAGAGGCUUGUGUGCCUAGAGAGGGAUCUCUUUGUGUUUGUGUUUGUGUGAUGGGGAGGGGGAGGGGGCCAUUUUAGAGUCAUAUGUAAGAUAUUAAGAUAUUCCUUUGAAGAGCAGCAUAAAAUGUGGAGGAUUCCAGAAGUACCGACAGAAAGGGCCAAACCCAGAAGAUUAUGUAAUGCACACACACACACACACAUACGUGCAUAUGCACACACACGGAUGCACACACACAUGCACGCGCAAGCACACACACCAUAGUGAUAGUAGAUGCAGGACUUGCCAACAAUUUGACUCAGGGUGUCAUGCAUUUGGUGUGUGUCCGAGUAAAACUUGUGGGCCAAUGGGUCACACGAUUAAUGAAAUGCUAGUGUGGGAAACAUUAAAUUGUGAUUGUGA